GGUCCAGACUUUGAUCCUGGCUCAGGAUGAACGCUAGCUACAGGCUUAACACAUGCAAGUCGAGGGGCAGCAUGUCGGUUGCUCGCAACCGACGUUGGCGACCGGCGCACGGGUGAGUAACGCGUAUCCAACCUACCCUUGUCCAUCGGAUAACCCGUCGAAAGGCGGCCUAACACGAUAUGCGGUUCACCGCAGGCAUCUAACGUGAACGAAAUGUGAAGGAGAAGGAUGGGGAUGCGUCUGAUUAGCUUGUUGGCGGGGUAACGGCCCACCAAGGCGACGAUCAGUAGGGGUUCUGAGAGGAAGGUCCCCCACAUUGGAACUGAGACACGGUCCAAACUCCUACGGGAGGCAGCAGUGAGGAAUAUUGGUCAAUGGACGAGAGUCUGAACCAGCCAAGUAGCGUGCAGGAUGACGGCCCUAUGGGUUGUAAACUGCUUUUAUAGGGGGAUAAAGUGUGCCACGUGUGGCAUAUUGCAGGUACCCUAUGAAUAAGGACCGGCUAAUUCCGUGCCAGCAGCCGCGGUAAUACGGAAGGUCCGGGCGUUAUCCGGAUUUAUUGGGUUUAAAGGGAGCGUAGGCCGUCUUAUAAGCGUGUUGUGAAAUGUCGGGGCUCAACCUGGGCAUUGCAGCGCGAACUGUGAGACUUGAGUGCGCAGGAAGUAGGCGGAAUUCGUCGUGUAGCGGUGAAAUGCUUAGAUAUGACGAAGAACUCCGAGUGCGAAGGCAGCCUGCUGUAGCGCAACUGACGCUGAAGCUCGAAAGCGUGGGUAUCGAACAGGAUUAGAUACCCUGGUAGUCCACGCGGUAAACGAUGGAUGCUCGCUGUUUGCGUCUGACGUAAGCGGCCAAGCGAAAGCGUUAAGCAUCCCACCUGGGGAGUACGCCGGCAACGGUGCAACUA
rnacentral:rRNA from 1 species